rnacentral:lncRNA from 1 species
UGGAACUUGGGGAUAGUGCAUACUCAUGAAUGAUUAUUCAUAUUGCCUCACUCUGGAUCAAUAACUUUGGAUGACAUUUUGAUAUAACACCUGUUGCUCUUUCAACCAUGAAAACUUACAAUGACUACCAAUACUUGGGGAUAGUGCAUACUCAUGAAUGAUUAUUCAUAUUGCCUCACUCUGGAUCAAUAACUUUGGAUGACAUUUUGAUAUAACACCUGUUGCUCUUUCAACCAUGAAAACUUACAAUGACUACCAAGUAAGUUCAAUUCUGCUGCAAGAAACUAUAAGUAUCAAAGACUUAUAAAUGAAUAAAAAUUACAUGAAUGUAUGCUUCAUUGGAGGAAGGAAGAGGACUUUGAGAAGAUUCAGAAUUUGUAAGAUAUCUACAUGUGGGCUGCUUUUCAAAUUUCAGAAAAUUGCAUCUUCCGCUGUCUGUCCCACCCUAUUAUCCUUAUUCUUUUUCCUACCAAAAUGCCAAGAUAGCUGGAGUAGAAUUGGAGUCAGAACUCAACUUGAAAAUGCAUGAAAGUAACAUUGCACAUCAUUCCCUAUAAUAUUUUCAAUAUGGAAGGGCCAUUGAUGGAGCAUUUAAAACCAUAGAAUCCAAAGCAGCGAUGGA